AUUGAACGCUGGCGGCAUGCCUUACACAUGCAAGUCGAACGGUAACAGGUCUUCGGACGCUGACGAGUGGCGAACGGGUGAGUAAUACAUCGGAACGUGCCCAGUCGUGGGGGAUAACUACUCGAAAGAGUAGCUAAUACCGCAUACGAUCUGAGGAUGAAAGCGGGGGACCUUCGGGCCUCGCGCGAUUGGAGCGGCCGAUGGCAGAUUAGGUAGUUGGUGGGAUAAAAGCUUACCAAGCCGACGAUCUGUAGCUGGUCUGAGAGGACGACCAGCCACACUGGGACUGAGACACGGCCCAGACUCCUACGGGAGGCAGCAGUGGGGAAUUUUGGACAAUGGGCGAAAGCCUGAUCCAGCAAUGCCGCGUGCAGGAUGAAGGCCUCGGUU
rnacentral:rRNA from 1 species